UACGAAGGGGGCUAGCGUUGCUCGGAAUCACUGGGCGUAAAGCGCACGUAGGCGGAUUGUUUAGUCAGGGGUGAAAUCCCGAGGCUCAACCUCGGAACUGCCUUUGAUACUGGCAUUCUCGAGUCCGGAAGAGGUGAGUGGAAUUCCGAGUGUAGAGGUGAAAUUCGUAGAUAUUCGGAGGAACACCAGUGGCGAAGGCGGCUGACUGGUCCGGUUCUGACGCUGAGGCGCGAAAGCGUGGGGAGCAAACAGG
rnacentral:rRNA from 1 species